GGGUGCGAUCAUACCAGCACUAAUGCACCGGAUCCCAUCAGAACUCCGCAGUUAAGCGUGCUUGGGCGAGAGUAGUACUAGGAUGGGUGACCUCCUG
rnacentral:rRNA from 1 species